AGAGACUGGGGAAAGUGAACGACGUCCGGUCCCUCUCAAAAAGCAGUCCGGGUGGGUCCUGCGGCAGCGCCUCAAGACGUUCCGCUCUGGAUGCUGAAAAGUAGCCAUUGCCGGUGGAGAGACAAGUUUGGCAAGAGGGGCAGUUUCGGAAUCGACUUAAGGGAUUUGGCGCAAACAAUCAGUUUCGUCUCCCACGCCCUUCAGAGGGAAAUGCCCAAAGAAAAGAAUAAAGAGUGGUCAGCUGCGUCUGAUGGAAGCAGUAGUGAAGAUUAAGGUUGACAGUGCUUAGAAGGAAGCCAUGAUGUUUUCACCCUGGUUCCCCACCUGCCGGACACUCUCCACAGAAGCUAGUGUCACCCUGGCCAAACACAGUCAUGCAGCAUACAGCAAGCACGAUGGGGAUGCCUCC